ensembl:lncRNA
CCCCCUGCUCCUCUCUGUGGUCUCCUGACUCCCCCAGCUCCUCUCUGUGGUCUCCAGACUCCCCCCUGCUCCUCUCUAUGGUCUCCAGACUCCCACCUGCUCCUCUCUGUGGUCUCCAGACUCCCCCUGCUCCUCAGGGCUGUUGCAGCAGUCUUUGUGAACCUCAGGUGAAGUGCUUUAGAUGGAUGGCUCCUCCAAGCCACUGGGGGCACUGUGCUGCGUAGGCUUUAUUUGUAAACAAACCAAACUGUAUAUAUGUUCAGCUGUCACUGACGUUGCAGACAUCAGUCACUGUGUACAAACUGUCAUGAUGUGCUUUUGUAGAUAAUGUUGAAGGUAAAUAUUUAAGACUCUAAUGGACAAAAUGCCUUGACUCUUUGUGGAGAUGCGUUGUAAACAUUUGUUCAGCAGUUUUACUGAGCAGUGAAACUCAACAGCACUUUGUUUUCUUUGGGAGUUUGACCCUGUUGGGCUAGGUCAGUAACCAUAGUAACCAACCACAGCAGGAAGUUCACUACAGAGGGACUGAGUUUACAUGUGUUCUCACCCUCUGAUCUAUACUCCCUUCAAGUGUGUACUUGUCCUUAUAACAAUCCACUGCUUUUCAACCCAUGAAGGGCAGUGAGUUCACCCAGCUCCUCUCAGCUCAGUGUAUAUAUAGACACUUCUGUUGAUGGGUAGUGAGUUCACCCAUCUCCUCUCAGCUCAGUGUAUAUAUAGACACUGUUCUGUUGAUGGGUAGUGAGUUCACCCAGCUCCUCUCAGCUCAGUGUAUAUAUAGACACUGUUCUGUUGAUGGGUAGUGACUCCUCUCAGCUCAGUGUAUAUAUAGACACUGUUCUGUUGAUGGGUAGUGAGUUCACUCAGCUCAGUGUAUAUAUAGACACUGUUCUGUUGAUGGGCAGUGAGUUCACCCAGCUCCUCUCAGCUCAGUGUAUAUAUAGACACUGUUCUGUUGAUGGGUAGUGAGUUCACCCAUCUCCUCUCAGCUCAGUGUAUAUAUAGACACUGUUCUGUUGAUGGGUAGUGAGUUCACCCAGCUCCUCUCAGCUCAGUGUAUAUAUAGACACUGUUCUGUUGAUGGGCAGUGAGUUCACCCAGCUCCUCUCAGCUCAGUGUAUAUAUAGACACUGUUCUGUUGAUGGGUAGUGAGUUCACCCAGCUCCUCUCAGCUCAGUGUAUAUAUAGACACUGUUCUGUUGAUGGGCAGUGAGUUCACCCAGCUCCUCUCAGCUCAGUGUAUAUAUAGACACUGUUCUGUUGAUGGGUAGUGAGUUCACUCAGCUCAGUGUACAUACAGACACUGUUCUGUUGAUGGGUAGUGAGUUCACUCAGCUCAGUGUAUAUAUAGACACUGUUCUGUUGAUGGGUAGUGAGUUCACUCAGCUCAGUGUAUAUAUAGACACUGUUCUGUUGAUGGGUAGUGAGUUCACUCAGCUCCUCUCAGCUCAGUGUAUAUAUAGACACUGUUCUGUUGAUGGGUAGUGAGUUCACUCAGCUCAGUGUAUAUAUAGACACUGUUCUGUUGAUGGGUAGUGAGUUCACUCAGCUCAGUGUAUAUACAGACACUGUUCUGUUGAUGGGUAGUGAGUUCACUCAGCUCAGUGUAUAUAUAGACACUGUUCUGUUGAUGGGUAGUGAGUUCACUCAGCUCAGUGUAUAUAUAGACACUGUUCUGUUGAUGGGUAGUGAGUUCACUCAGCUCA